UACGUAGGGUGCAAGCAUUAAUCGGAUUUAUUGGGCGUAAAGGGCGCGUAGGCUGAGAUGUAAGUCAGAUGUGAAAUCCCGGGGCUCAACCCCGGAACAGCAUUUGAAACUGCAUCCCUAGAGGGUAGGCGGAGAAAACGGAAUUCCACAAGUAGCGGUGAAAUGCGUAGAUAUGUGGAAGAACACCAGUGGCGAAGGCGGUUUUCUAGCUUAUACCUGACGCUGAUGCGCGAAAGCGUGGGGAGCAAACAGG
rnacentral:rRNA from 1 species